rnacentral:rRNA from 1 species
GAUGAACGCUGGCGGCGUGCUUAAUACAUGCAAGUCGAACGAAAAGACCCGGCGUUUGCUGCUUACACGAUUGCCGAACGGGUGUGUAACACAUGUGUAUCAUCCCCCUAACAUAGUGAUAUAACUUCGAAAAACGGGCGCAUAUACGAUAUGAUAUCUUGAUCCGCAUGGUUCGAUAGUGAAUUACGGUUUUGCUGUCACUUAUAGCUGGAUCCGCGCCUUAUUGGUUAGUUGGUACGGUAACGGCUUACCAAGGCAAAGAUGGGUAGGCGGCCUGAGAGGGUGGACGGCGACAUGGGGACUGAGGGACGGACCAGAAGCCAACGGGAGGCAGCAGUCGGGAGUAUUGCGCAAUGGGCGGGAGUGUGAUGCGGCGACGCCGCGUGCGGGAAGACGGCCUACGAGUGGUAAACUACUUUGUCAAUAGACGUAGACGUCUUGACGGUACCUGGUCAAGAAGCACCGGCUAACUACGUG